rnacentral:lncRNA from 1 species
UGGAGGGCAGCAACCCAACAACCAGUUGUCCAAUUCAUCUGAAAAAUUCAGGGCAGAUAGAUAUUGACUUGAUUAACAAUUUAACUUCUUGUCAGAUUUGCUCUAGAUGCUUUGGUUUCAUAGUUAUAAGCCAGAAACUGCAUUUUACCCCUAUGUUCUAUUUUUAGCCGUGGCGGCCAUCUUGGUUGAAUGGCCAGGUCAUCAGACACAUUUUUCAAACUAGAUACCCCAAAGAUGAUUGUGGCCUAGUAGUUUCAGUGGAGAUUUUGUAAAAGAUUACUUAGAUUUAUGAAAAAUGGUUAAAAAUUGACUAUAAAGGGCAAUAACUCCUAAAGGGGUCAACUGACCAUUUUGGUCAUGUUGACUUAUUUGUAGAUCUUACUUUGCUGAACAUUAUUGCUGUUUACAAUUUAUCUCUAUCUAUAAUAAUAUUCAAGAUAAUAACAAAAAACAGCAAAAUUUCCUCAAAAUUACCAAUUCAGGGGCAGCAACCCAACAACCG